GUACACGCUGUGACUAGCAUAUCAAUAAGCGGAGGAAAAGAAACUAACAAGGAUUCCCUCAGUAACGGCGAGUGAAGCGGGAAGAGCUCAAAUUUGAAAUCUUGAAAGGUCACCUUUCACGAAUUGUAGUUUAAAGAAGUGUUUUCUGUUACGAUCGUAAUAUAAGUUCUUUGGAAUAGGACAUCACAGAGGGUGAGAAUCCCGUCUAUGAUUGCGAUUUGUAGCUUUGUGAUACACUUUCAAAGAGUCGGGUUGUUUGGGGAUGCAGCCCAAAACGGGAGGUAAAUUUCUUCUAAGGCUAAAUAUUGGCGAGAGACCGAUAGCGAACAAGUACCGUGAGGGAAAGAUGAAAAGAACUUUGAAAAGAGAGUUAAAUAGUACGUGAAAUUGUCAAAAGGGAAGCGUUUAACACCAGUGUUGUUUUCUGAAAAUCAACCUCUGUUAGCUUUAUGCAUGUUUGUUUAGACCUAAUCAGCUAUCUUGCAUGUUCUAUUGUCUGCAGUGGUGCACUUUUCAGUUUACAGGUCAACAUCAGUUUUUUUUACCGUAAAAAAGUUAAAGAAAGGUAGCUCAUGGCUCCGGUCGUGAGUGUUAUAGUCUUUUUCCUAUGCGGUAGGAGAGACUGAGGUCUGCAGUGUAGGCUAUUUGGCUAGAUACUCAGGUGCUAUGUGAUACCAUUUCAUAAACAACUUGUUGAUUAUGUUUUGUCUAUUGCAUACUCGCUUGUACUAUCAUACCUACGCUUAGGAUGUUGAGUAGCGACAUACGCAC
rnacentral:rRNA from 1 species